UCAUGGUCAGGCCCCUUCAUAUCUUAAAGAGCUCAUAGUACCCUAUUACCCCUCUAGAACACUACGUUCUCUGAAUGCUGGGCUACUUGUGGUUCCUAUAGUCUCUAAAAGUAGAACAGGAGCCAGAGCCUUCAGUUACCAAGCUCCUCUCCUGUGGAACCAGCUUCCAGUUGUGGUUCGGGAGGCAGACACCCUCACCACAUUCAAGAGUAGGCUUAAGACAUUCCUCUUUGAUAAAGCUUAUAGUUAGGGCUGGAUCAGGUGAGUCCUGAACCAUCCCUUAGUUAUGCUGCUAUAGGCCUAGACUAUCGGGGGAUUUCCCAUGGUGCACUGAGCUACUCUCUUCCUCUCUCUUUCUGCACUCAUUCAUGUCCCAUUAAUGCAUGUUACUAACUUCACUUCUUCCCCGGAGUUCUUGUGCUUUCUCAUCUUGCAGGUUCUCAUGGAUCCUGGUGGAGCCUCCUGCCAUGGUCCUGCUUGACUGCCAUUGCCAAUACUGUCUGUCUGUCUGUCUGUCUGUCUGUCUGUCUGUCUGUCUGUCUGUCUGUCUGUCUGUCUCUCUCUCUCUCUCUCUCUCUCUCUCUCUCUCUCUCUCUCUCUCUCUCUCUCUCUCUCUCUCUCUCUCUCUCUCUCACCCCAACUGGUCGAGACAGACGACCACCCACCUAGAGCCGGAGGAUCUGUCCUAGGUUUCUGCCUUUUAACAGGCAGUUUUUCCUUGCCCUUGUCGCCAAGGUCUUGCUCAUGGUGGUACUGUUGGGUCUCUGUAAUUAAUGUUAAAGAGUUCGGUCUAGACCUGCUCUAUUUGAAAAGUGUCCUGAGAUAACUUCUGUUAUGAAUUGGCGCUAUACAAAUAAAAUUGAAUUGAAUUGAAUUGAAUUAGCCAUGACUUUUCUCCCUCCCUCUGUUGCUUACCUCGGUGUCCAGUGUUUAGCUAUUCCUCUGCCUCCUUUAGUGAUAA